rnacentral:rRNA from 1 species
AUGCUGGCCAGCAAAUGCCAACACAGUCAUCACCAUGCUUGUGUCGAUGCAGCUGCACAAUGCGUUCUGGCAAAUCAACUUGAGUUUCUUGAGGUUAUACCUAUCUGCCGCGACAAACAAAAGUUGAGCCAUCUCCAUGGAUUCGCCAUCGUCUAUCUCGGGCAACGAAUCGGUGUAGAUAAAGUGAAGCAUGGCCUUGAAGACCCUUGGUUCCAUGUCAUGGAUCCGUAUACAUGUGGUGUCAGACUCCUUGAACAAAAGAGACUGCGCCAUGAACACGGAAGACCGAGCAGCGAGCAGGCACCAAUGAGCAGCAUACGUGCUGCCGCGGACCUCGAAAGUCACAUCCGCCGCCUCGCCGGUCGCAAGGAUACGGGCAAGUUGCUCAUGCAUGUCUGA